rnacentral:rRNA from 1 species
GAUGAACGCUGACAGAAUGCUUAACACAUGCAAGUCAACUUGAACUUCGGUUUGGGUGGCGGACGGGUGAGUAACGCGUAAAGAACUUGCCUCACAGAUAGGGACAACAUUUGGAAACGAAUGCUAAUACCUGAUAUUAUGAUUAUAUGGCAUCGUAUAAUUAUGAAAGCUAUAUGCGCUGUGAGAGAGCUUUGCGUCCCAUUAGCUAGUUGGAGAGGUAACGGCUCACCAAGGCGAUGAUGGGUAGCCGGCCUGAGAGGGUGAUCGGCCACAAGGGGACUGAGACACGGCCCUUACUCCUACGGGAGGCAGCAGUGGGGAAUAUUUGAAAAUGGACCAAGAGUCUGAUCCAGCAAUUCUGUGUGCACGAUGAAGUUUUUCGGAAUGUAAAGUGCUUUCAGUUGGGAAGAAAAAAAUGACGGUACCAACAGAAGAAGUGACGGCUAAAUACGUG